UGGAUCCAGACUUUGAUAUGGCUCAGGAUGAACGCUAGCUACAGGCUUAACACAUGCAAGUCGAGGGGAAACGACAUUGAAAGCUUGCUUUCGAUGGGCGUCGACCGGCGCACGGGUGAGUAACGCGUAUCCAACCUGCCCAUCACUUGGGGAUAACCUUGCGAAAGUAAGACUAAUACCCAAUGACGUCUCUAGAAGACAUCUGAAAGAGAUUAAAGAUUUAUCGGUGAUGGAUGGGGAUGCGUCUGAUUAGCUUGUUGGCGGGGUAACGGCCCACCAAGGCUACGAUCAGUAGGGGUUCUGAGAGGAAGGUCCCCCACAUUGGAACUGAGACACGGUCCAAACUCCUACGGGAGGCAGCAGUGAGGAAUAUUGGUCAAUGGACGAGAGUCUGAACCAGCCAAGUAGCGUGCAGGAUGACGGCCCUAUGGGUUGUAAACUGCUUUUAUAAGGGAAUAAAGUGAGGCUCGUGAGCUUUUUGCAUGUACCUUAUGAAUAAGGACCGGCUAAUUCCGUGCCAGCAGCCGCGGUAAUACGGAAGGUCCGGGCGUUAUCCGGAUUUAUUGGGUUUAAAGGGAGCGUAGGCCGCAGGUUAAGCGUGUUGUGAAAUGUAGGGGCUCAACCUCUGCACUGCAGCGCGAACUGGCUUGCUUGAGUACGCACAACGUGGGCGGAAUUCGUGGUGUAGCGGUGAAAUGCUUAGAUAUCACGAAGAACUCCGAUUGCGAAGGCAGCUCACGGGAGCGCAACUGACGCUAAAGCUCGAAAGUGCGGGUAUCGAACAGGAUUAGAUACCCUGGUAGUCCGCACGGUAAACGAUGGAUGCCCGCUGUUGGCUUGAAUUAGUCAGCGGCCAAGCGAAAGCAUUAAGCAUCCCACCUGGGGAGUACGCCGGCAACGGUGCAACUCAAAGGAAUUGAGGGA
rnacentral:rRNA from 1 species